AAUUUCAGUUGAAGAAUCGUAACACUUAACUGAACUCUUAUUUUCCCUUUGUUGUUUGUGGUACAAAUUACAUUUUCAGACACUACUUUGGCAUAACUUUCUCUAUCAUCUGAGACACUUCUUUUGCUUGUUUUAUCAGUCUUAGGUCAUGUGUUUGACAUUUUGUUUUCAGAAAUGCUUAAGCUGUCCAUUGAAUAAUCGACAGGUAUGAAGG
rnacentral:lncRNA from 1 species